AGAUUGACUUGGCUUCACACAUUGUUAGGGUUGUGUCGACUUUGAAGAUUGCUUAAACAUGUGACAAAUUACAGUGAGUCUAACAUGUGGUCGUUACUUGGAGGGUUCCAAUAACGAGGGUCAGAUGAUCCACACUUGAGUAAUUCUCAUGAUUUUAUUGAUGAUGCUCGAAACAUAAGAAGUGGCUACAAAAAAGAUGCCCUUUCAGGAGUCCAUGGAAGGGUCUUUUCAUCAAAUUGUCGGGAUCCUUUGCUUGAAUCUAUUGCAAGAAAAGGAAUAAUGUCUUAGGUGAGUCCAUCACAUGCCAUCCAUACUGAGAUUUUACAAGCUAAAUCUGGAUAUACUUCACUUCUUAGUGGAUCAUACAACACUAAUUCAUUUAGACAUUAGGCAACUGUUGCAGUUCUGUGGCUUGCUUUUAAAAGGCAAGAAGCGCACAAAAGCGACAUGGUCUAAAACCGAGCCGUGAAGCGCCAAAGAGCAAAAGUGCACCGCUUUUCGUACACGAGGCACAAAUAAAUAUAUAUUUUCUAUAGGUUUCUAGCACCAUUUGCCUAACAUGGGCGGACCCAA